rnacentral:rRNA from 1 species
GUUAGCCUUGUAUUAGGAUUUACUCCGAAAGCAAGGAAACUUACAACAAAGAGUCCCUCCCGACUGUUUACCAAAAACACAGCACUCUGCUAACUCGUAAGAGGAUGUAUAGGGUGUGACGCCUGCCCGGUGCUCGAAGGUUAAUUGAUGGGGUUAGCAUUAGCGAAGCUCUUGAUCGAAGCCCGAGUAAACGGCGGCCGUAACUAUAACGGUCCUAAGGUAGCGAAAUUCCUUGUCGGUUAAAUACCGACCUGCAUGAAUGGCGUAACGAGAUGGGAGCUGUCUCAAAGAGGGAUCCAGUGAAAUUGUAGUGGAGGUGAAAAUUCCUCCUACCCGCGGCAAGACGGAAAGACCCCGUGGACCUUUACUACAGCUUGACACUGCUACUUGGAUAAGAAUGUGCAGGAUAGGUGGGAGGCUUUGAGUAUAUGACGCCAGUUGUAUAUGAGCCAUUGUUGAGAUACCACUCUUUCUUAUUUGGGUAGCUAACCAGCUUGAGUUAUCCUCAAGUGGGACAAUGUCUGGUGGGUAGUUUGACUGGGGCGGUCGCCUCCCAAAUAAUAACGGAGGCUUACAAAGGUUGGCUCAGAACGGUUGGAAAUCGUUCGUAGAGUAUAAAGGUAUAAGCCAGCUUAACUGCAAGACAUACAAGUCAAGCAGAGACGAAAGUCGGUCUUAGUGAUCCGGUGGUUCUGUGUGGAAGGGCCAUCGCUCAAAGGAUAAAAGGUACCCCGGGGAUAACAGGCUGAUCUCCCCCAAGAGCUCACAUCGACGGGGAGGUUUGGCACCUCGAUGUCGGCUCAUCGCAUCCUGGGGCUGGAGCAGGUCCCAAGGGUAUGGCUGUUCGCCAUUUAAAGCGGUACGCGAGCUGGGUUCAGAACGUCGUGAGACAGUUCGGUCCCUAUCUGCCGUGGGCGUAAGAAGAUUGAAGAGAUUUGACCCUAGUACGAGAGGACCGGGUUGAACAAACCACUGGUGUAGCUGUUGUUCUGCCAAGAGCAUCGCAGCGUAGCUAAGUUUGGAAAGGAUAAACGCUGAAAGCAUCUAAGCGUGAAGCCAACUCUAAGAUGAAUCUUCUCUAAGCUCUCUAGAAGACUACUAGUUUGAUAGGCUGGGUGUGUAAUGGAUGAAAGUCCUUUAGCUGACCAGUACUAAUAGAGCGUUUGGCUUAUCUUU